AUUGAACGCUGGCGGCAGGCCUAACACAUGCAAGUCGAGCGGGGCGGCGGACGGGCGGGUGAGGCCUAGGAAUCUGCCUGGUAGUGGGGGAUGGCGUCCGGCAGGGGGCGGUAGUACCUCAUACUUGCAGAUGAGCCUAGGUCGGAUUAGCUAGUUGGUGGGGUAACGGCCCACCAAGGCGACGGUCCGUAACUGGUCUGAGAGGAUGAUCAGUCACACUGGAACUGAGACACGGUCCAGACUCCUACGGGAGGCAGCAGUGGGGAAUAUUGGACAAUGGGCGAAAGCCUGAUCCAGCCAUGCCGCGUGUGUGAAGAAGGUCUUCGGAUUGUAAAGCACUUUAAGUUGGGAGGCGUUACCAACAGAAUAAGCACCGGCUAACUUCGUGCCAGCAGCCGCGGUAAUAC
rnacentral:rRNA from 1 species